rnacentral:rRNA from 1 species
GAUGAACGCUGGCGGCGUGCCUAAUACAUGCAAGUCGAGCGAACAGAUAAGGAGCUUGCUCCUUUGACGUUAGCGGCGGACGGGUGAGUAACACGUGGGUAACCUACCUAUAAGACUGGGAUAACUUCGGGAAACCGGAGCUAAUACCGGAUAACAUUUGGAACCGCAUGGUUCUAAAGUGAAAGAUGGUUUUGCUAUCACUUAUAGAUGGACCCGCGCCGUAUUAGCUAGUUGGUAAGGUAACGGCUUACCAAGGCGACGAUACGUAGCCGACCUGAGAGGGUGAUCGGCCACACUGGAACUGAGACACGGUCCAGACUCCUACGGGAGGCAGCAGUAGGGAAUCUUCCGCAAUGGGCGAAAGCCUGACGGAGCAACGCCGCGUGAGUGAUGAAGGGUUUCGGCUCGUAAAACUCUGUUAUUAGGGAAGAACAAAUGUGUAAGUAACGGUGCACGUCUGGACGGUACCUAAUCAGAAAGCCACGGCUAACUACGU